AACAUCUUUGGCUGUUCCCUUAGUUGGUCAGGCCGGUUCGGAUCACAUGGCUCCUCGUCGGACCCUUCGGUCAACUGCUGGCCACCACACUAAUGUGUAUCACCUCCCACGGCCAGUUAGAAACCCACAAGUUGCCAACCCUUCUGUUUCGAAUGGAGUGUCUGCUUUGUUUAGACCUUGGAGCUAGUUUGUAGUGUCUCCCUCAUUUUUGUUCAUCGUCGGGGCGACGAUGCAAGAAGGGGGGAUAGAAUGUAGCAGCAUAGGAGUAUGUUCAUAUCCCCCUAUGCAGCGUGUCCCGUUAAACAGAGUUCACUGCCGGCCAAUCAUUGGGUAGGUGGAGAGUAUUUAAGCAGCGCUCCUCUCACUGCUUCUCUCUCUGCACUUCCGUCUGUGUACUUCCGGGGUCAAGUGUUCGACUGAGACAGUGACCGGUGUGCUGUUGGGGCAUACGUGUCUUUCGGCGUCCUAUUGUGGUGAGACGCCCGUAGCCGCCUGGGUUUACUCCCUCGCUCCUCUCAUGUGCCUGUGUAUCUGCUUAAAAGUUGCUGAGGAUCGGUGGUGGUGCUGGUGGUCUGGGUGGCGGUAUCCCCUCCUUCCGUGUGCGGUGCUCCUCUGGGAUUGGUUUUCUUUGCACAACCCUGUGUGAGUGUGUCACGUGUGACUGGGUGCUUUUUGAGUUGUUUUGGGUGGAUCCCUCCCCCCUUCACUAGCCCAUUGUCCACCUGGUAAGCCUCAGCACCUGAUUAGGUUUCCCUCUUCCCCUUCUUGUGUGUGGUAUUUUAAACGGAUGUCAACUUGUUAAUAAAAUCUAUUAAUUUUUU